UGGGUCAAUUUUAGUUGUUUUUCGUACACGAAAAAUUUCCAAGCGCAAGUGUUUCAGUUUUACUCGUUUCAUGUUUUUAUUUUUAUCAUUUUUUUGUAAGAAGACUCAGCUUGGACGACAGUUCAUCGACUGAGAAAUGUUUAAACAAAAGCCGAAGAAGCAACAAGCUUUUCUCUAGUUUUUGCAAACGAAAUGAAAGAAAUGAGUUCACGUGCCCCUCCGUUUAUUUUAAUUAAAUGAGCUGGGUUUUGUGGCCUAAUUAGUUUCACCUGUGUCAAUGUGCAAACAAAGCCGCCAAAGCAUAUGGAAUGUAUGCCAGGAGCUUUUGUUGCUGCUGAUGAAGAAGACAACAACGGACAUAUACACAAAUAUAUAUGGUAUGAUAUUAAAAGGGUAAAAGCUUCAUUUUGUGUUCCCUACACAAGGCACCAAUAAAGGAAAAGAAUAAACUCUGCCCAUGAAUGCUCUCAUAUUUUCGUUUUCAG
rnacentral:sRNA from 1 species